rnacentral:rRNA from 1 species
UGCAAGUCGAACGGUAACAUAAAGAAGCUUGCUUCUUUGAUGACGAGUGGCGGACGGGUGAGUAAUGCUUGGGAAUCUAGCUUAUGGAGGGGGAUAACUACGGGAAACUGUAGCUAAUACCGCGUAAUAUCGAAAGAUUAAAGUGUGGGACCUUCGGGCCACAUGCCAUAAGAUGAGCCCAAGUGGGAUUAGGUAGUUGGUGAGGUAAAGGCUCACCAAGCCGACGAUCUCUAGCUGGUCUGAGAGGAUGACCAGCCACACUGGGACUGAGACACGGCCCAGACUCCUACGGGAGGCAGCAGUGGGGAAUAUUGCGCAAUGGGGGCAACCCUGACGCAGCCAUGCCGCGUGAAUGAAGAAGGCCUUCGGGUUGUAAAGUUCUUUCGGUAGCGAGGAAGGCAUUUAGUUUAAUAGAGUAGGUGAUUGACGUUAACUACAGAAGAAGCACCGGCUAACUCCGUGCCAGCAGCCGCGGUAAUACGGAGGGUGCGAGCGUUAAUCGGAAUAACUGGGCGUAAAGGGCACGCAGGCGGUGACUUAAGUGAGGUGUGAAAGCCCCGGGCUUAACCUGGGAAUUGCAUUUCAUACUGGGUCGCUAGAGUACUUUAGGGAGGGGUAGAAUUCCACGUGUAGCGGUGAAAUGCGUAGAGAUGUGGAGGAAUACCGAAGGCGAAGGCAGCCCCUUGGGAAUGUACUGACG